rnacentral:misc_RNA from 1 species
GAUGAAGAACGUAGCGAAAUGCGAUAAGUAAUGUGAAUUGCAGAAUUCAGUGAAUCAUCGAAUCUUUGAACUCACAUUGCGCCCGCCAGUAUUCUGGCGGGCAUGCCUGUCUGAGCGUCAUUUCAACCCUCAUGCCCCUAGGGCGUGGUGUUGGGGAUCGGCCAAAGCCCGCGAGGGACGGACGGCCCCUAAAUCUAGUGGCGGACCCGUCGUGGCCUCCUCUGCGAAGUAGUGAUAUUCCGCAUCGGAGAGCGAUGAGCACCUGCCGUUAAACCCCCAACUUUCCAAGGUUGACCUCAGAUCAGGUAGGAAUACCCGCUGAACUUAAGCAUAUCAAUAAGCGGAGGA